ensembl:lncRNA
GUGUCGCGGGGAGUGGCGGCAUUAACUGCCGUUCCCCGCCCGUUGGCACAUCAGCGCGCGCCGAGGCUUUCCUGCCGCUCUCCCGCCCCCUCAGCGCUGCUGGAGCGGCCGGUCUGCUCCUGCCCCUCGGCCUGUGGUGGAGUCACUCUUUGGUGUUUAUAUUUGUUGCACUCCUCGUACCUUCAUUACCACCGUUCUCAAACGGGUGCAUUUUGCGUCAGUUUUGGGGCCCCUUCCCCGAGAGGUGGCAGCAGGAUUGCGGGGUGAUGGCCGGUGCUGUUGACGCCACAAACUGUGAGGAGAAACAGCUUCCUAAUAAGAGAGAAACUAUGAUCUGGAAGCCCAGAAAAGAAUGUUUGCUGGACAGCAUUUCAAACGUUCCUGAUAGCAAGUCUGAGGAAAGUGAAGCCUCUGAUGCCUCUCACAGUGAAGGGGAUGACAGUGUCUCUCCUGAUGACUGGUACAACGUGCAUUUUUACCUGGAUGAGGGGGAUGAUGAAGUCUUCAGUAUACCUGACUCUCCAAAGCUGCAAAGUGCUUCUGAGCAUGAGGUGGAGGACUGGGAUAAAGAAUUGGAGGAGUCUGCAUAUGGUCCUUAUGAUGCUGAUGAUCUGUCCUGUGGAAGCUUUCAGGAAAAUAAUGUUUUGGCCUCACCCGUGUGGAAGGAGGACUGGUUUUACUACCCAGGCUGUCACCACACAGCUUGCUUUGUUUGUCCACCACGAGUCAGUGCAAAGGUUGAGAGUGGCCAGUUUGAUGAUGCAGAUGAGUGAGGCUGACCCUGGGCAGAA